UCCCCACACCUAUUAAACUCGACCCCAUUCCCCUUAUUCAUCACAACCAACAAACCCAUCCUCAUCAAAGCCACGCACUCGACCGCUUCUCACUCGCCUCUUCACCAUCGUCUCAAGAUCACUCGACCGCGGUGCUGGCCGCAGCAGAAGGAGAGAGGUCGAGUUUCCUCAGAGCGGUGCUGGCCGCCACAGAGCUGAUGAGGUCGAGUACCCACCUGCUGGAGCUGAUACAGAACAAGGAGGUUCGUCUAUGGCCUGGGAGCAAUCGCAGGGAGCCAUUGACGAGCAACUACGUUCAUUCUUCG
rnacentral:sRNA from 1 species